rnacentral:lncRNA from 1 species
GAUAAGGAAGCGCUUGAUCCGGGUCUUAGAAGGGCAUCGAGAUCAAGGAGAUCGUGAGAUCAAAGUGGACGUUCCCGAUUUCCAUGGCCGAUUGCAUCCUUGCAUCCUGAGGACUUUCUUGAUUGGCUAAGUAGCGUAGAGAAGUUCUUUGAUUGGAAAGAACUACCCGAGGUGUGCGAAGAUGAAAUUCCUGAGCAAAAAUA